rnacentral:rRNA from 1 species
UACGGAGGGUGCAAGCGUUGUUCGGAAUCAUUGGGCGUAAAGCGCGUGUAGGCGGCCAUCUAAGUCUGGUGUGAAAGCCCGGGGCUCAACCCCGGAAGGGCACUGGAUACUGGAAGGCUAGAGGAUAUGAGGGGAGAUUGGAAUUCAUGGUGUAGGGGUGAAAUCCGUAGAUAUCAUGAGGAACACCGAUGGCGAAGGCAGGUCUCUGGGCUGACACUGACGCUCAUGCACGAAAGCGUGGGGAGCAAACAGG